UGACCUUGGGUGCCUCUUUAGCCCCACAACACACCCAUGGGCGUGCUUCCACCUCAGGACUUAAGGGGGGGGGCAGAGAUAACCCCUUCUUCUUCCUCCCCUUUCAUCUUCACUGCUUGUUCUUUCUUUUUUUUCCUCAAGCUGAGCUCUCAUCUCACUUCUCCUCCCCAAAUCCCAUCCAAUAGCCCAAGAUCAAUUCAUGCAUGUUAGAUCACAACAAUCCCCAUCAUCCAAGCUUUCCAUCCAUCCCAACAUCUUGCACAUGCAUGGAGAGUUGAGAGAGAUUGAAAUAGGAGAAGAGAGUGGUGGUUUCAGCCUGCAUGGUUGCAGCAGCAACAUGACUUUGUUUCCCUCUAUUUGGUCAUCCAUCUCCAUUAUUGCAGCUAGGAGGUGGCUGCAGCUCAUCCGGUGUUAAUCUCUUUUGAUUUCGGUUGAAGCAGCCCUAGGCAACGUCUCUUACCGUCAGCCCGAGGCCUUGCUCCGUCUCUUGCCAUCAGCCCGAGGCCUUAGCCUCAUGACCCUACGUCCAGGUUGCUACCAUGUGAGCGAAGUCUGGUGGAAUUUGGAGAAAAGGGGGAGCGAAAAUAGAAAUCGAUUUCUGAGAUAGCUUUUGAGCUGAAAGAGAUUCGGAGAUUCCGGAGAGUAACGAGCCAUAUCCCGAGGAGGAUAGUGACUACCCUCAGCAGCAAG